GCCGGCUCCCGGCUGGUCGCCAGGAGCAGCGGUUUCCCUCACUUCCUGCCCUGGGGCGAGCGUCCUCUCUCUUUGCGCCUUUCGCGGGAAGGCGCUAGACGACAAACUGCGGAAAUGCCUUGCGAGAACAUGGUGAGAAGGCAGCUAGAUGUCUGCAAGCCAGGAAGAGUCCUGACCAGAAACCAAAUCAGCUGGAAACUUGAUUGUGGACUUCUAGCCUCUGGAACUGUGAGAAAAUGAAUUUCUGUUUUUUCAAACACCCACUCUGUGGUAUUUUGUUAUCACAGCCAAAGCAGUCUAAUACAGUGGUGAAUUA